AUCCAGACUCCUACGGGAGGCAGCAGUGGGGGAUAUUGCACAAUGGGGGAAACCCUGAUGCAGCGACGCCGCGUGAGUGAAGAAGUAUUUCGGUAUGUAAAGCUCUAUCAGCAGGGAAGAAGAUGACAGUACCUGAGUAAGAAGCCCCGGCUAACUACGUGCCAGCAGCCGCGGUAAUACGUAGGGGGCAAGCGUUAUCCGGAUUUACUGGGUGUAAAGGGGGCGCAGACGGCGAUGCAAGCCAGGAGUGAAAGCCCGGGGCCCAACCCCGGGACUGCUCUUGGAACUGCGUGGCUGGAGUGCAGGAGGGGCAGGCGGAAUUCCUGGUGUAGCGGUGAAAUGCGUAGAUAUCAGGAGGAACACCGGUGGCGAAGGCGGCCUGCUGGACUGCAACUGACGUUGAGGCCCGAAAGCGUGGGGAGCAAACAGGAUUAGAUACCCCAGUAA
rnacentral:rRNA from 1 species